rnacentral:rRNA from 1 species
CCUACGGGAGGCAGCAGUGAGGAAUAUUGGUCAAUGGACGAGAGUCUGAACCAGCAAAGUAGCGUGAAGGAUGACUGCCCUCGGGGUUGUAAACUUCUUUUAUAAAGGAAUAAAACGAGGCACGUGUGCCUUUUUGCAUGUACUUUAUGAAUAAGGAUCGGCUAACUCCGUGCCAGCGGCCGCGGUAAUACGGAGGAUCCGAGCGUUGUACGGAUUUAUUGGGUUUAAAGGGAGCGUAGAUGGGUUGUUAAGUCAGUUGUGGAAGUUUGCGGCUCAACCGUGAAAUUGCAAUUGAUACUGGCAGUCUUGAGUACAGUUGAGGUAGGCGGAAUUCGUGGUGUAGCGGUGAAAUGCUUAGAUAUCACGAAGAACCCCGAUUGCGAAGGCAGCUGACUAGACUGUUACUGACAUUGAUGCUCGAAAGUGUGGGGAUCAAACAGGAUUAGAUACCCUGGUAGUC